ensembl:snRNA U6 U6 spliceosomal RNA
GUGCUCACUUCGGCAGCACAUAUACUAAAAUUGGAACGAUACAGAGAUUAGCAUGGCCCCUGCACAAGGAUGACAUGCAAAUUCGUGAAGCAUUCCAUAUUUUU